rnacentral:rRNA from 1 species
GCCUAAAACUCAGCCCUCUGACAACUAAUGAUUACUCAAUCUUUAUUAACAAUAGACAAAACAUUUUACACUUAUAGUAAAGGCGAUUGAAAAAUGUCUAGGAGCUUUAAAUACUGUACCGCAAGGGAAAAGUGAAAUAAAAAUGAAACAUAUUAAAGCUUAACAAAGCAGAGAUUUAACCUCGUACCUUUUGCAUCAUGGUCUAGCUAGUCUAAUCAAGCAAAGUGAGCCUUAAGUUUGACCCCCCGAAACUAGACGAGCUACUUCAAAACAGCCUUCAAGGGCCAACCCGUCUCUGUUGCAAAAGAGUGGGAAGAUUUUCAAGUAGAGGUGAUAGACCUAUCGAGUCUAGAGAUAGCUGGUUAUUCAGGAAAAGGAUAUUAGUCCUGCCUUAAGAUCUUCUUUUAAUUUCAAAUAUCAACUCAGACUUAAGAGCUAUUCAAAUAAGGUACAGCCUAUUUGAACUAGGAUACAACCUAUAAUAUAGGGUAAUGAUUUUCUCAUGUAACUAAGUGGGCCUAAAAGCAGCCACCUUUUAAAAAGCGUUAAAGCUUUAUUACUGAAAUAUACUAAUACCUACAUUUUUCCAAAACCCUUUACUACUACUGAAUGACUCUAUAUCUAUAUAGAGAACUAUAUGCUAGAACUAGUAACAAGAAGAUGAACUUCUCCAAAAUAUAAGUGUACGCCGAGAUGAACUAUUCAACGGCAUUUACCGCUAAUGAAUCCAAAGUAGUAACCAAACAAGAAAAUCCUACUUAAACCAGCGUUAACCUUACACCAGAAUAUUUCUAGAAAGAUUAAAAGAUGAGGAAGGAACUCGGCAAAUUAUUAACCCCGCCUGUUUACCAAAAACAUCGCCUCCUGAAAACCAUAGGAGGUCCAGCCUGCCCAGUGACAAAGUUAAACGGCCGCGGUACCCUAACCGUGCGAAGGUAGCGCAAUCACUUGUUCUUUAAAUGAGGACUAGCAUGAAUGGCAUCACGAGGGUUACACUGUCUCCCCCAUCCAAUCAGUGAAACUGAUCCCCCCGUGAAGAAGCGGGGAUAAGAAUAUAAGACGAGAAGACCCCAUGGAGCUUUAAACUCAGUAUCAACUGCUUUACAAUAAACCUAAGUAACCUAACAGAAAUGACUACUAGUUUUUGGUUGGGGUGACCGCGGAGCAAACACAACCUCCACGAUGAAUGGGCCUCCAACCCUUAUCCCAGAGCUACCACUCUAAGAAUCAAAAAAUUGACAAAAAUUGAUCCAAAUACUUUUGAUCAACGAACCAAGUUUCCCUGGGGAUAACAGCGCAAUCCAUUUCAAGAGCUCCUAUCGACAAAUGGGUUUACGACCUCGAUGUUGGAUCAGGGUAUCCCAGUGGUGCAGCCGCUACUAAAGG